UACGAAGGGUGCAAGCGUUACUCGGAAUUACUGGGCGUAAAGCGUGCGUAGGUGGUUCGUUAAGUCUGUCGUGAAAGCCCCGGGCUCAACCUGGGAAUGGCGAUGGAUACUGGCGGGCUAGAGUGCGGUAGAGGAGAGUGGAAUUCCGCGUGUAGCAGUGAAAUGCGUAGAGAUGUGGAGGAACACCGAUGGCGAAGGCAGCCCCCUGGGACCUGACUGACGCUCAUGUACGAAAGCGUGGGGAGCAAACAGG
rnacentral:rRNA from 1 species